GUGCUCACUUCAGCAGCAUAUAUAUUAGAAUUAGAGCAAUACAGAGAAGAUUAACACGGCUCCUGGGAAAGGAUCACAUCCAGAUUCCUGAAGGAUUCCAUAUUUUA